UUCUAUUUGUAUGUCAGGUUGGAUUACAUGCAUAUGCUCCAUUGUGUAUGUCCACGUGUAAUCUGUAGACAAUAAAAAGCGUGGAAAUUAGUUUAGUCAAUUUAGUCUGCUCUCUCUCUCUCUCUCUCUGUCUGUUUCAUUACUUCCUUUGAACAAUUCAUACAACCUUCUCUCUUUUUGGUGAUAUGGUGAUCUGUAGCUACGCUAGGUUCUCUGCCUUUGACUCUUUGAGUGAUUCCUACAACCUUAUCUGAUUUUGGUAAUCUCUAGCUCCCACUUGAUACCUAUACCUAGCUUUCUUCCCUUUGGUUUCAGCUUUUCUUCUCCAUCGUUGUUUUGUGGCUUCAAUGGCCUUGUGCCCCCAAUCAGCCUCUCCAUCUUUUCCUUCAUCAUCAGCUCCUCGAUCAAAGCAUGAUGUGUUUCUCAGUUUUAGGGGUGAAGACACUCGCAAGGGUGUUGUAUCCUAUUUAUACCAUGAAUUGCAAAACAGAGGAAUACAAACAUUCAUGGAUGACCAAGGGCUUCAGCAAGGGAUGCCUAUUUCUCCAAGUCUCGUAGCUGCAAUAGAGGAAUCGAGGUAUGCAAUCGUUCUUCUGUCUCCAAAGUAUGCUUCUUCUACAUGGUGUUUGGAUGAACUUGUGAAGAUUCUUCAAUGCUCUGAAGCCAAGAAGACACCAGUUCUGCCAAUUUUUUAUUAUGUGGAUCCCUCUGAUGUGCGAAAUCAAAGGGGAAGUUUUGCGGAAGCCUUCACUAAGCAUGAAGAGAGGUAUAGGCAAGGCAAUGAUGAUGUAGAGAAGGUGAAGAAGUGGAGAGCUGCUUUAACACAAGUGGCCAAUCUCUCUGGGUUGGAUUUAAACAAAUUUGGGUCUGAAAAAGAACUUGUCCAACGCAUUGUGGAACUUGUGCGCCGUGAUGUAAGGCCUAUUUCAAUAAUGUCGAGCAGCAAUUUUGAAGCAUUUGAAUCAACAAGAAAAGCCAUGAAUGAGCUGAUGGAGGCAUUAGAAGAUGAUGAGGUCGCUGCCAUUGGGGUCUAUGGAAUGGGAGGGGUUGGGAAGACAACCAUGGUGAAACAUGUCGGUGCACAGGCCCAAAAAAUGGGGCUUUUUGAUCAUGUGAUUAUGGCUGUUGUAUCCCAAACCCCAGAUAAAAGAAAUAUUCAAGGCGCACUUGCGGAUCUGCUGGGCUUGAAAUUGGUGGAGGAGACAGAAAUUGGACGAGCCAGUAGAUUGCAGAAGGAGAUACUUAGAAGAAAUAAGAUCCUUAUAAUCUUAGACGACAUUUGGAAUAGACUGGAGUUGUCAAGCAUUGGAAUUCCCAGCUACAACGAGCUUCAAAUAUGCAAUUCCAAAGUGCUACUCACCACAAGGAGAUUGAAUGUUUGCCAUACCAUGGAGAGCCAAGCAAAAAUUCAUCUCAGUAUCUUAUCAGAAGAUGAUGCUUGGAACUUGUUUUUGAAGAAGGCAGGAAAGUCUUUUCAGAAGUCUACCGCUUUUUAUGAAGUAGCCAGAAAGGUAGCUCGAGAAUGUGCUGGUCUCCCAGUUGCGUUGAUAGCAGUUGCGAGGGCACUUGGAGAUAAAGAUUUUGAAGCCUGGAAAGAAGCAGCUCGACAACUUGAGAUGUCUCAACCUGCCAACCCUGAACAGGACAAAGAUGUGUUCAAGUGUAUAAAGUUGAGCUAUGACUACUUGGACGAUAAUGCCGAUGUGUCCAGAAGUCAAGCCAAGUAUUGCUUCUUGCUCUGCUGCCUAUUCCCAGAAGAUUAUGAUAUCCAAAUAGAAGACAUUAUGAAGUAUGGCUUCAGAACAGGAUUGUUCCGAGAUGACAACAGCACAAUAGAGAAUGCCAGAGCCAACGCAAAAUCAGUGAUUGACCACCUUAAAGAUUCUUGUUUGCUUUUGGACGGUUCAAAGGUCGGAUGUAUAAAGAUGCACGAUGUCAUUCGAGAUAUUGCCGUGUCCAUUGCAUCAGAUGGCCAACAUUUUUUGGUGAAAACUCGUUGUGAUUUAAAAGAUUGGCCGAUGGAUGCGCAUGAGGGCUACUCAGCAAUCUCACUAAUUGAGAGCAACAUUUGCAAGCUUCCCAACAAGUUGGUAUGUUCAAAACUUCAGAUUUUAUUGCUACAACAAAAUGCUUGUAUAAUAAAGAUCCCAAAAACCUUUUUUCAAUGUCCCAAUGAUUUAAGGGUCUUAGAUCUUAGCAAUACUGGCAUUUCAUCACUGCCCCCAUCAUUCAGUCUCCUGACCACACUCCAAGCUUUGCAAUUAGAUAAUUGCCGGUACCUUAGGGACAUAUCCAUACUUAGAAAACUGAAAAAGCUCGAGAUUCUUAGUAUGAGAGACUGUUCUAUUAAGAAAUUUCCAAAAGAGAUAGGAAAUUUGACCAAAUUAAGAAUGCUGGACUUGACCAAGACUAGUUUUGAGACAGUUCCCUCUCAAGUGAUAACAAGGUUGUAUAGACUAGAAGAACUGUACAUGAACUAUAGUUUUGGCUACUGGGGUAGUAAAGUUAAGGGAGGCUUGUUGUGUUUUCUUGGUAAGAAUGCUGACUUUGAUGAGUUAACUGUCUUGUCACGUUUAAACACUUUGGAGGUUUCCGUAUAUGGUGUAGAACGUUUGCCUCAAAAUGUUGAGCCCAUUCCAAAUUGGGUCAACUUUUAUAUACGUAUCAGAAGAUUCGGGUUCAGAAAUUGCACUAGGGGAGAUCACAUUCCACAUCCUUCUUCAAGAGCAUUGAUCAUUGACACAACCAUGAAUAACUUACCCAAUUGGUUCAUCAGUGUGGUGACAGAAAAAACAGAGGAUUUAUGGUACAACUGCUGCAAUGGCUUAACUAACCUUCUCGAGGAACACGACCGUGGGAGAUUACAUGGACUCAAGUAUCUUUGUAUAGAAUCUGUAUAUGCAGAAGUGUUGUUCAACACAAUAACAUGGCCUAAGGGGUCAAAUGAACCUGUGUUUGAGCACUUGGAAGAGUUGAAAAUCUAUUUCGGGCAUUGCCUGGAGGAGCUAUGUGUUGGUGAUUUACCACUUGGCUCUGUACGUAAUCUCAAGAUAUUGAAUGUGCAAUCUUGUUCUAGGUUGGUGAAACCACUUUUACCGUCAAAGUUGUUGCACAGAUUACAGAGUCUGGAAAAACUAGUAUGUUCUUAUGUAGUUAUGAAUUAUGUGUUUGGAUUUGAAGGGGAUGAACCACAACACGUUGUCUUUACAAAGUUGAGAAUGAUUUCACUGAGACAAAUGUACCGGCUAAUAAACAUAUGGAAUGGUCCUGCUCCACCUGGAAUCUUCCAGAGCCUCAAAAUCUUUUACUUGAAGGAUUGCCCAAUACUGAAAUAUCUCUUCACAUCUGAGGUAGCUCGAUGUCUUUUGCAAUUGGAAGACGUUUGGGUAGAGUGUUGUAGUAGAUUGGACAGACUAAUUGAAGCAACUGAGGAAACAGAGAGCAACAAGAUUGUUCUUCCACAAUUGAAAAACCUAGUUUUGAAACGUCUUCUAAAGCUCACAAGGUUCUCCAGUACCAGCAGCAGUACUAUUAUUAUUGAAAUCGAGUGCCCUUCAUUGCAACACUUGUACGUGGAUGAGUGCCCCUGGGUUACAAUCUCUGCUUCUGACUUCAGCAGCAGAAACCAAGUCCCCUGGUUUCCAAUCUCUGCUUCUGGCAUCAGCAGCAGAAGCCAAGUCCAACUAAAUGAUCACCAACAUAUGGGCACACUACGGGGAAGGAUCGACAAUGAAUCAAAGCUCUCACACUUUCCACUCUGGACGUGAUAAGGGGGGAACUCGAUGAUACGUAUGGCUUAUAAGCAGCUUUAUGCUCAUUAUCAUGCAUGGGCUAGCAGGACUGGUGUCCAUGUUUCCAUAGUGGCACAACUGUUGAGGAACCAAAACAAAGAUGCAACCUGAGAGCUCGAGCUUGAUGAGGGGAUUAGACUGAUGUAAUUUUAAUAUGCCCUUAACAUGUUCCCACAAAGACAAACACCAAGAACAGUACUGCCAAUAAACCUCAAGCAGAUCAGAAAGCUUGUUACAGGUAAACUCUUAUACUGAUAAGAAAGAAUAGAAAGAAGAAUAAUGCCGGGAAAUGCCAGAGAUAAGUGGUAGUGAGAAUUUUUUUUUUUUUUUUUAGUUAAGGUGGUAUAUAUAAAAAAAAGGAUGUGUAUUUAGUGAAUAUGUAUUAUGUAUUAUGAAUGAGAAUAGUUUAGGAAGUCCGGGGUUGUGUUUCUAGUAAAAUAUUAAAAUAAAAAAAUUAAUAGAAUGUGUAUUAAGUAGGAGAUGUGUAUCUAGUAUUUUGCAAUGUGUUAAUAAAAUUUCUCUUAAUAUAAGAACGUGAAAAAACCCAACCAGAUCCCCUAAUUUGCAUCCUUAAAAUGGUUUACUUCGAGCUGACAUUAUGCGUGUGCACUACUAAUCUGACACACUAGCUCAGAUUGAAGUAUUAUAGACCGCUGUGUGCUUAACGCAUGGCUCCUUAUUGAAGUAGUAUAGCUGUUACAGAGGAAAUUCACAGAAAAAAACAACAACAACAAAAAAUAUAUCCCAUCUGUCAUUCUAAAUGCGACCCGUUGUCGUGCUAAUUGAUCUCAAUUUAAUCAUAACUAGUAGAGACUCGACCACUAUACUUUCCUCCAUCUAGCACUCUGAAUUCUUAUUACUUUUCUCUUUGCAAUGGAGUUGGAGAGCAUUCAAGGAUGUCUGGAGAACAAGACCAUCUUUGUUACUGGACCCACUGGCUUGCUAGGAAUGGUUUUUGUGGAGAAAAUACUACGGGUUCAGCCAAACGGGAAAAGGCUCUUAUCUCCUUAAUAGAGUUUUCGAUGCCAAAUCUGCCACACAUCGCAUGCACAAUGAGGUUUAAUAUAAAUCCACAAAUAUUUCACACCUGCACUUUUAAAUAGUUUUUAUAUCAAUUGACAUUUACUUGUAUGAAUUAUCAAGAUCAUAAGGAAAGAG